UAUUGAUAAAUUGAAAGAAGGGCAAGCAAAGUGAGCCUCGAACUUUUAUGGAAAGUUGAAGAUAAGGCACUGUACUUUCCUAUUAAUUCGGUUGAACGCUUAUAAGAAAUUGAAAGCAACAUGGCAGAAAAUGAAAUCAACGAUUAACUCCAUUUUACGGGAAAGUGCUGACAUUAUUCAAAUUUUUCAAUGGGCAUAAAAGGCAAAAAAAGCCACGCAAAUUUCAAUUAUAUUCUGUUCGAUUGCCUUGAAAAAGACGACCCAUUCCACCCAUUGGAAAUUUGCCAAUGAUAUAGAGAUGGCAAUUAAAAUGGCCAAGAUUCGCUGUUACAAGCACGAAUUCGACGAGACGCAGAGAUCCAGCAGCAGUAAACGUUGUUGUAUGUUUUACUUUUUACAUAACUUGAAGAAUGAAUUAACUUAAAUAUUCGUUUUGAUGCUACUUUUGUUUAUAUAUAUAAAAAUAUGAAUAUAUGUGGUUGUAAUGAAUGUAAAAACU